GGGGAUUUAGCUCAGUGGUAGAGAGCUUGCCUAGGAAGCGCAAGGCCCUGGGUUCGAUCCCCAGCUCCG
rfam:Rattus norvegicus chromosome 4, whole genome shotgun sequence.